UAUCAACAUGCACGCGGGGGAGUACUGCAGAGUUACCCUAACCUCCCAGUGGGGUAUAGGAGCUUACAUACCAUCUUUUUUUGUUGUUUUUUUGAGACAGGGUCUCACUCUGUCACCCAGGCUGGAGUGCAGUGAUGCAAUCUCGGCUCACUGCAACCUCCACCUCCUAGAUUCAAGCAAUCCUCCUGCCUCAGCCUCCUGAGUAGCUAGGACUACAGGUGUAUGCCACCAUGCCUGGCUACUUUUUGUAGUUUUUGGUAGAGAUAUGGGGUUUCACCCUGUUGGCCAGGCUGGUCUCAAACUGCUGACCUCAAGUGAUCCGCCCGCCUCCGCCUCCCAAAGUGCUGGGAUUACAGGCAUGAGCCACCAUUCUCGGCCCAUACCAUCUUGAGGUUACAAAAUGAAUGGGGACUCAGAGCAUGGCCAAAAACAGAUUAUAGUGGUAAGCAGGUUUUAGUGGCAAGACACCUUAUGGGAGGGGGAAAAGAUGAGGCCUGGCUAGCAUAAGUGGUCUUGUUAGGUAGAUGAAAUCUCACAGGUAGCAGCCCUCAGAAAGAAUUGAUGGUAAAUACUUCUUUUCGACCUUUAAAGGUGUCAGAGCCUCAGUUAAUUGUUCCUAAAUCUAAAGAGAAGCCCCACAUAAGUGAAGAUUUUAUCCACUGAUGCAAAUCUCUCCCACCAAAGACAGCUUUGCAGGGCUACUUCUGUUUGCAAGGCCCUUUGAACAGCUGUCUCAAAAUAUGUCAAAGAAGGAUAUUUUAAGGUGAAAUAUUUUUAUUUCUUUCACUAACGUGUAUAAAUACUUCAUUCCUUUUUUAUUGCCAAAUAAUAUGCACGGACAUAGGACAUUUUAUUUAUAAAGUCAUCGGUGCUGGGUAAGGUGUCAGAGCCCCGCGUCGAAUAGUGGUUGACUCGCCGCUCGCAAUGGCUCACACCUGUAAUCCCAGCACUUUGGGAGGCCAAGGCAGGUGGAUCACCUGAGGUCAGGAUUUCCAAAGUUCCAGACCAGCCUGGCCAACAUGGUGAAAACCCGUCUCUACUAAACAUACAAAAAUUACCCAGGUGUGGUGGUGCGUGGCUGUAAUCCCAGCUACUCGGGAGGCGGAGACAGGAGAAUCGCUUGAACCCGGGAGGUGGAGGUUGCAGUGGGCCGAGAUCGUGCCAUUGCACUCCAGCCUGGGCCACAAGAGUGAAACUCAGUCUCAAAAAAAAAAAAAAAAAAAAAGGGGGGGUUGACUCAUGGGUUGGUAGGAAGAAUUUACUGACAACAGUAUAGGUUUGAAAAAGGAAAGUUUUAUUAGAAAGAAAGAACGUGCCUUUCCAGCCCCCCACCCGGACCCUACAGCCACCGAGAUGUUGAUGCCUAAGAAGAACUGGAUUGCCAUUUAUGAACUCCUUUUUAAGGAGGGAGUCAUGGUGGCCAAGAAGGAUGUCCACAUGCCUAAGCACCCGGAGCUGGCAGACAAGAAUGCGCCCAACCUUCGUGUCAUGAAGGCCAUGCAGUCUCUCAAGUCCCGAGGCUACGUGAAGGAAGUUUGCCUGGAGACAUUUCUACUGGUACCUUACCAAUGAGGGUAUCCAGUAUCUCUGUGAUUACCUUCAUCUGCCCUCGGAGAUUGUGCCUGCCACCUUACACCGCAGCUGUCCAGAGACUGGCAGGCCUUGGCCUAAAGUCUGGAGGGUGAGCGACCUGCAAGACUCACAAGAGGGGAAGCCAACAGAGAUACCUACAAACGGAGUGCUGUGCCCCCUGGUGCCAACAAGAAAGCCGAGGCUGGGGCCGGGUCAGCAACCAAAUUCCAGUUCAGAGAUGGAUUUGGUUGUGGACGUGGUCAGCCACCUCAGUAAAAUUGGAGAGGAUUAUUAUGCGAUGAAUAAACUUACAGUCAAAAAAAAAAAAGAAAGAAAGCUGCAGAAGAGUGCAGUGAGGUGCCUCAGCAUGAGAAAAGCUGGAGUGAAGUGGCACGAUCUCGGCUCACUGCAACCUCUGUCUCCCGGGUUCAAGCAAUUCUCCUGCCUCAGCCUCCCAGGUAACUGGGAUUACAAGCACCCACCACCACACCCGACUAAUUUUUGUACUUUUAGUAGAGCCGGGAUUUCGCCAUGUUGGCCAGGCUGGUCUCGAACUCCUGACCUCAGAUGAUCCACCCACCUAGGCCUCCCAAAGUGCUGGGAUUACAGUCGUGAGCCACCACACCUGGUCUUAGUAAAGAUUUUUCAAAGAGCACAGUGCUACUGUCUCUCAUGGAAAGAAAAGUAUUAAACCCAUGAUGAUUACAUCUUAGUCUAAGGGGAAUAUUAAACCCACAAUAAAUUAAGCUAAAACUUC
ensembl:lncRNA novel transcript